UACGUAGGGUGCAAGCGUUGUCCGGAAUUAUUGGGCGUAAAGGGCUCGUAGGCGGUCCGUCACGUCGGGAGUGAAAACUUGGGGCUUAACCCCAAGCCUGCUUCCGAUACGGGCGGACUAGAGGUAGGCAGGGGAGAACGGAAUUCCUGGUGUAGCGGUGAAAUGCGCAGAUAUCAGGAGGAACACCGGUGGCGAAGGCGGAUCUCUGGAACGGUACUGACGCUGAGACGCGAAAGCGUGGGGAGCGAACAGG
rnacentral:rRNA from 1 species